GAUGAACGCUAGCGGCAGGCCUAAUACAUGCAAGUCGAACGGAUAUAUGUUUUUCGGAAUAUAUAUUAGUGGCGCACGGGUGAGUAACACGUACAUAACUUGCCCUCAAGCGGGGGAGUAGCCUUGGGAAACUGAGAGUAAUACCCCAUAGAAUUAUUGGACGGCAUCGUUUGAUAAUUAAAACUACGGUGCUUGGGGAUAGAUGUGCGUCUGAUUAGCUAGUUGGUGAGGUAACUGCUCACCAAGGCGACGAUCAGUAGGGGGCGUGAGAGCGUGGCCCCCCACACGGGUACUGAGACACGGACCCGACUCCUACGGGAGGCAGCAGUAAGGAAUAUUGGUCAAUGCCCGCAAGGGUGAACCAGCCAUUCCGCGUGGAGGAUGAAGGCCCUAUGGGUUGUAAACUUCUUUUAGAUGGGAAGAAAAUGCUAGAUGUAUCUGGUACUGACGGUACCAUCAGAAUAAGCACCGGCUAACUCCGUGCCAGCAGCCGUCGGUAAUGU
rnacentral:rRNA from 1 species